rnacentral:sRNA from 1 species
UGGAGAGUGAAGUCCUGUGCUUAUUCACAGAACAGGUACAGCAAUGGUAGCAAUAGGGCAAACUAAUCCAUACUCACACCGCUGUACCUGAACCUUUGUUAAAGUGCAAAGGAAAAUACUGAAGUUUGCCUUCCACUACUGGUUCCC